GCCGGGCGUGGUGGCGGGCGCCUGUAAUCCCAGCUACUCAGGGGGCUGAGGCAGGAGAAUUGUUUGAACCCAGGAGGCCAAGAUUGCAGUGAGCCGAGAUCUCACCACUGCACUCCAGCCUGGGUGACAGAGUAAGACUCCGUCUCAA
ensembl:misc_RNA Metazoa_SRP Metazoan signal recognition particle RNA